rnacentral:rRNA from 1 species
UACGUAGGGGGCAAGCGUUGUCCGGAAUUAUUGGGCGUAAAGAGCGUGUAGGCGGCCAGAUAAGUCCGCUGUGAAAUCUCGAGGCUCAACUUCGAGCUGUCGGUGGAAACUAUCUGGCUAGAGUCCGGAAGAGGAGAAUGGAAUUCCUGGUGUAGCGGUGAAAUGCGCAGAUAUCAGGAAGAACACCCGUGGCGAAGGCGGUUCCCUGGGACGGUACUGACGCUGAGACGCGAAAGCGUGGGGAGCGAACAGG